rnacentral:rRNA from 1 species
GAUCCUGGCUCAGGACGAACGCUGGCGGCGUGCCUAAUACAUGCAAGUCGAACGCUUCUUUUUCCGACCGGAGCUUGCUCCACCGGAAAAAGAGGAGUGGCGAACGGGUGAGUAACACGUGGGUAACCUGCCCAUCAGAAGGGGAUAACACUUGGAAACAGGUGCUAAUACCGUAUAACAAUCGAAACCGCAUGGUUUUGAUUUGAAAGGCGCUUUCGGGUGUCGCUGAUGGAUGGACCCGCGGUGCAUUAG